GGGGGAUAACACUUGGAAACAGGUGCUAAUACCGCAUAACCAUAGUUACCGCAUGGUAACUAUGUAAAAGGUGGCUAUGCUACCGCUUUUGGAUGGGCCCGCGGCGCAUUAGCUAGUUGGUGGGGUAAAGGCUUACCAAGGCAAUGAUGCGUAGCCGAACUGAGAGGUUGAUCGGCCACAUUGGGACUGAGACACGGCCCAAACUCCUACGGGAGGCAGCAGUAGGGAAUCUUCCACAAUGGGCGAAAGCCUGAUGGAGCAACGCCGCGUGGGUGAAGAAGGUCUUCGGAUCGUAAAACCCUGUUGUUAGAGAAGAAAGUGCGUGAGAGUAACUGUUCACGUUUCGACGGUAUCUAACCAGAAAGCCACGGCUAACUACGUGCCAGCAGCCGCGGUAAUACGUAGGUGGCAAGCGUUAUCCGGAUUUAUUGGGCGUAAAGGGAACGCAGGCGGUCUUUUAAGUCUGAUGUGAAAGUCUUCGGCUUAACCGGAGUAGUGCAUUGGAAACUGGGAGACUUGAGUGCAGAAGAGGAGAGUGGAACUCCAUGUGUAGCGGUGAAAUGCGUAGAUAUAUGGAAGAACACCAGUGGCGAAAGCGGCUCUCUGGUCUGUAACUGACGCUGAGGUUCGAAAGCGUGGGUAGCAAACAGGAUUAGAUACCCUGGUAGUCCACGCCGUAAAC
rnacentral:rRNA from 1 species